UACGUAGGGCGCAAGCGUUGUCCGGAAUUAUUGGGCGUAAAGAGCUCGUAGGCGGCUUGUCACGUCGAUUGUGAAAGCCCGAGGCUUAACCUCGGGUCUGCAGUCGAUACGGGCUAGCUAGAGUGUGGUAGGGGAGAUCGGAAUUCCUGGUGUAGCGGUGAAAUGCGCAGAUAUCGGGAAGAACACCCGUGGCGAAGGCGGCUCUCUGGGACGGUACUGACGCUGAGACGCGAAAGCGUGGGGAGCGAACAGG
rnacentral:rRNA from 1 species